UCCUCGCACUCUGGAGAGCGGCAGCGGCCUCGUCGAACGAGCCAGUUGCCCACCGAAGGGGCGCGCGAUGAACCGCGGCACGAACGUGCACACGGUUCGCGCAAUCUCUCAGGUACCGAGGACAGAGGGGUCACG
rnacentral:ncRNA from 2 species